CUUUUCCGUCAGGCGUGCUCAUGGGCAGCCUUGACCCGGGGGUCCUCACGCGGAGCUUUAAGUAGUGAGGCCCCAGCGGGGAGCGCGCCACGUGGAGCCGGGGCAGGCUGGGGCCACGUGCAGGCGGAUGGCAGUGACCCCGCCAUGGAUGGGCCCUAGAAUGCCCAGGUGGGGCUGCCGUCCCUGGGGAGAUCUUCUCUCCUCUUCCCCCCCCCCCAUGAGCUGACCCGGGGGAGGCUGGAGGAAUGAAGCUGAUACCACCCUGCAGAGCCCCAUGGGUACUGGGGUGCAGUGAGCCCCCGGCUGGUGCUGUGCAGUGACAUGGGUGGCGCUGGCGUUGUGGGGGUGAAAAAUCCCCAAAACUGACCUGCCCUACGCUUCUGCAAGGACUUCCCUGCUGCCGCCCCAGAACGGUGCGGAGAUCCUGUGUGUGCCAAUCCCUGCACUGGUCCAGGGACCCAGGACUCGUGGGUUCUGUUCCCAGUUCUGCUGCUCCUUGUAGCUAACCUGGGUCCCAGGCUGGGGCCUGUUGAUCUGGGGGGUGAGGGGUUCAUGUCCCCUCCCCACUGAUCCCCCAGUGGCUGCAGCUCCUGUCCUGCCAAUAAAGUCGUGUUGAUCUGAA